rnacentral:lncRNA from 1 species
UACCAAAAACGGUUUCUCAAAGCUUGAUUGCUGGCUUUUUCACUGGACUCCAAGUGGUGUCUGGAUGGCUCCAAACAUCCUAUCCAUCAAAAGAGCAGUUUCCAGGAUCGAACAUAUUUAACAGAUGUGCUGCAGGUUCUGAACAUGAUUCCACAAAAGAUGACCCCACUGUCUAAGAGGACGGCCACUCUGCAGCCACGACUGCACCCCUGAAAGCACAGGACACUAAUUGCCAGGUCUGGGCUUAGAUACUGGGGAUACAGCAUUGCAGCAGGGAAUUUGCAAAAUGAAAUGGAACCGUGAAGAAAGGAAAUGAAAAUAAAUCACCCUGUUUCCAUAGUCACCUCCCCCACACUAGUGGACUAUUCUCUCUUAAUCAGCUCCCUCAAACUCCUGCCUCUAGGACCUUCAUUCUCUCUGACUUCUUUGAUCAUGGAGCAUUAAGAUCACCAUAUGUUGGAUAUUGUUAAAUAACAUGAGUGGACACAAGAACAACAGCUCUGGUCAUGGCUGUGACUUGGUUAUAAGUUAACUUUAUGGGUCACUGAGUGUCUGGAAACAAACUAUAAAAAGAAGAAAGGGUGGCCCAGGCAGCUUUCUGUUGGAAAUGGCUGUGACCAGUUGCUUCUGGAAGGGAGAUGUAUUGACUGCAAUAAAACUUGAUAGGCUCAGCACUUGUCUGUUAAGGCUAGAAUCGGAAGUCAACUUUGGACCUGAGUAAUUGGUAUAAAUUUGUGUAUAAGGGCAAGACAGAAGGGAUUUUAUUCCAAGUGGUCAACAAUAUGGUGUCCAGCUGCUGCAUAUGAUCUGCCUGCUCUCUGACCUCUAAUCCCGCGAGACUAUCUGCAUCGUCUGGGGUAAUCCUAAUAUCCAAG